rnacentral:rRNA from 1 species
UCAGGAUGAACGCUGGCGGCGUGCUUAACACAUGCAAGUCGAACGGAGUAUUAAGAAUGAAGUUUCGGAUGGAUUUUUAGUACUUAGUGGCGGACGGGUGAGUAACGCGUGGGUAACCUGCCUCACACAGGGGGAUAACAGUUGGAAACGACUGUUAAUACCGCAUAAGACCACAGUACCGCAUGGUACAGGGGUAAAAAACUCCGGUGGUGUGAGAUGGACCCGCGUCUGAUUAGUUAGUUGCGGGUAACGGCCCACCAAGACGACGAUCAGUAGCCGAUCUGAGAGGAUGACCGGCCACAUUGGGACUGAGACACGGCCCAAACUCCUACGGGAGGCAGCAGUGGGGAAUAUUGCACAAUGGGGGAAACCCUGAUGCAGCCGACGCCGCGUGAGUGAAGAAGUAUUUCGGUAUGUAAAGCUCUAUCAGCAGGGAAGAAAAUGACGGUACCUGAGUAAGAAGCCCCGGCUAACUACGUGCCAGCAGCAGC